AGAAUCAACGCUGGCGGCGUGCCUCAGACAUGCAAGUCGAACGCGAAAGUCCCCUUCGGGGGACAAGUAGAGUGGCGCACGGGUGAGUAACACGUAGGUAAUCUACCUUCGGAUGGGGAAUAACAACCGGAAACGGUUGCUAAUACCGCAUAAUGCAGCGGCACCUAAUGGUGACAGUUGUUAAAGCGGGGGAUCGAAAGACCUCGCGUCUGAAGAGGAGCCUGCGGCGGAUUAGCUAGUUGGUAGGGUAACGCCUACCAAGGCGACGAUCCGUA
rnacentral:rRNA from 1 species